rnacentral:lncRNA from 1 species
AUGCUGUAAGGGUGUGUUAUCGUAAUUACCAAGAAGAUAUCAUGCUGCAUAAUCCAUCAGCAAACCCUCCAAAAAAGCCAGGUCCUCCUCCCAUGAAACCAAGACCCCAAGGGCCUCCCAUGCCAAAGCCCCAGCCACCAGGUCCUCCAGGCAAGGGUCCCCAUCCACCGGGUCCCCCAGGCCCUGGCCCCCAUCCGCCAGGUCCCCCAGGUCCAUGGCCGCCCCAUCCACCAGGGCCGCCCCAUCCUCCAGGGCUGCCCCAUCCACCAGGUCCUCCAGGCCCAGGGCCUCCCCAUCCACCACCGCCUGGGCCUCCCCAGCCACCACCGCCUGGGCCUCCCCAGCCACCUCCGCCUGGGCCUCCCCAGCCACCUCCUCCUGGACCGCCACCGCCCGGUCCUCCUCCACCAGGUCCUCCAGGAUCCAUCACUAGCCCUCUAUCUUACAAUUUAACAGCCGCAGCCACCACCCAAUGAGGCAACAAAAGUAAGACUGCCUAGAUGUAGCUGAUCCGAAUAGAGAAUAGAAUAUCAAAGCUAACUAAACAAGUUUUCAGUUGACUGUAUGUAAACAAAAUCAAC